rnacentral:rRNA from 1 species
CAGCAGCCGCGGUAAUACGAAGGGUGCAAGCGUUACUCGGAAUUACUGGGCGUAAAGCGUGCGUAGGUGGUGGUUUAAGUCCGUUGUGAAAGCCUUGGGCUCAACCUGGGAAUUGCAGUGGAUACUGGGUCACUAGAGUGUGGUAGAGGAUAGUGGAAUUUCCGGUGUAGCAGUGAAAUGCGUAGAGAUCGGAAGGAACAUCUGUGGCGAAGGCGACUAUCUGGGCCAACACUGACACUGAGGCACGAAAGCGUGGGGAGCAAACAGGAUUAGAUACCCGAGUAGUCCCUGUCUCUUAUAC